GUGGGGAAUAUUGGGCAAUGGGCGAAAGCCUGACCCAGCAACGCCGCGUGAAGGAAGAAGGUCUUCGGAUCGUAAACUUCUAUCCUUGGUGAAGAUAAUGACGGUAGCCGAGAAGGAAGCCCCGGCUAACUACGUGCCAGCAGCCGCGGUAAUACGUAGGGGGCAAGCGUUGUCCGGAAUGAUUGGGCGGAAAGGGCGCGUAGGCGGCCUGGUAAGUCUGGAGUGAAAGUCCUGCUUUUAAGGUGGGAAUUACUCUGGAUACUGUCGGGCUGUAGUGCAGGAGAGGUAAGUGGAAUUCCCGGUGUAGCGGUGAAAUGCGUAGAGAUCGGGAGGAACACCAGUGGCGAAGGCGACUUACUGGACUGUAACUGACGCUGAGGCGCGAAAGUGUGGGGAGCAAACAGGAUUAGAAACCCCAGUAGUCC
rnacentral:rRNA from 1 species